ACGCACGCUGGCGGCGUGCUUAACACAUGCAAGUCGCACGGAAAGGCCCUGCUUUUGUGGGGUGCUCGAGUGGCGAACGGGUGAGUAACACGUGAGUAACCUGCCCUUGACUUUGGGAUAACUUCAGGAAACUGGGGCUAAUACCGGAUAGGAGCUCCUGCUGCAUGGUGGGGGUUGGAAAGUUUCGGCGGUUGGGGAUGGACUCGCGGCUUAUCAGCUUGUUGGUGGGGUAGUGGCUUACCAAGGCUUUGACGGGUAGCCGGCCUGAGAGGGUGACCGGCCACAUUGGGACUGAGAUACGGCCCAGACGCCUACGGGAGGCAGCAGUGGGGAAUAUUGCACAAUGGGCGGAAGCCGGAUGCAGCAACGCCGCGUGCGGGAUGACGGCCUUCGGGUUGUAAACCGCUUUCGCCUGUGACGAAGCGUGAGUGACGGUAAUGGGUAAAGAAGCACCGGCUAACUACGU
rnacentral:rRNA from 1 species